GGCGGACGGGUAGUAUGUCUGGGGAAACUGCCUAUGAGGGGAUAACUACUGAAACGGGUAGCUAAUACCGAUAACGUCCAAGACCCAAAAAGAGGGGGAUCUUCGGGCCUCUUGCCAUCAGAUUGCCCAGAUGGAUUAGCUAGUAGGUGGGGGUAACGGUCACCUAGCGGACGAAUCCCUAGCUGGUCUGAGGAGGAUGACCAGCAACACUGGAACUGAGAACACGGUCCAGACUCCUACGGGGAGGCAGCAGUGGGGGAAUAUUGCACAAUGGGCGCAAGCCUNAUGCAGGCCAUGCCGCGUGUAUAAGAAGGCCUUCGGGUUCGUAAAGGUACCUUUUCAGCGGGGGAGCGAAAGGUGCUGGUCGGGUCUCAAUAACCACAGGCAAAUUGACGGUUACCCGGCAGAAGAAGGCACCGGGCUAACUCCGUGCCAGGCCAGCCGGCGGUAAUACGGGAGGGGUUCAAGGCGUUAANUCGGAAUUACUNGGGCGUAAAGCGCAAGGCCAGGCGGUCUUGUCAAGUCGGCAUUUUGAAGAUCCCCCGGGGGGCUUCCAAGCUUGGGGGAAANCUUGNGAUUUCGGGAGANACUUUGGCCGAG
rnacentral:rRNA from 1 species